rnacentral:lncRNA from 1 species
CCCCCCUUCAGGAUGAGCUGAAUCUUUCCAGAAAAGUGCUUGUUCCUCUUCUUCGACUGUAAAGCAAAUAUGUCCAGCUGGGCCAGGUGCACUGCUGAUGCUGGAGGCCCCCUAGUUCGGGGGCAUGCCACAACCACCGCUACACCAGGGUCUGCAGGGGAUUGAAAGCUUUGUGGCUGCACACUUCUCCCUCAUGUUGAUGCUAAAGGCAGGCAGCGCUUCGCUAUGGUAUCUCCCAUGUGCUUGUUGCCUCCUUGUCCAGAAGUGGAUUCUCGACCUUGACAAGAGUUCAAAACAUUCAUCCUGAAUGACCAAAACCUUUUCCUGGAGCCAUCAAGACAUAACUCCUGGGCUUAAGUGGGAAAUUUGUUGAAUGCAAAACAAAUAUUUCAUGGUCUGAUCCUGUAAAUGCCCAUGAGUCAAUAAAUCUAUGGAAGCUGCUC